rnacentral:rRNA from 1 species
UACGAAGGAUGCAAGCGUUAUCCGGAUUCAUUGGGUUUAAAGGGAGCGUAGGUGGUCUUCUAAGUCAGUGGUGAAAUCUCUCGGCUUAACUGAGAAAUUGCCAUUGAUACUGGGAGACUUGAGUGUAGUUGCCGUUGGCGGAAUAUGACAUGUAGUGGUGAAAUACAUAGAGAUGUCAUAGAACACCGAUUGCGAAGGCAGCUAACGAAACUAUAACUGACACUGAGGCUCGAAAGUGCGGGGAUCAAACAGG